UACGUAGGCAGCGAGCGUUGUUCGGAAUUACUGGGCGUAAAGAGUGUGUAGGCGGUGUUCCAAGUUCGGUGUGAAAUCUCCCGGCUUAACUGGGAGGGUGCGCCGAAAACUGGAAUGCUCGAGCGUGGGAGAGGAAAGCGGAAUUCCUGGUGUAGCGGUGAAAUGCGCAGAUAUCAGGAAGAACACCAAUGGCGAAGGCAGCUCUCUGGGACGGUACUGACACUGAGACGCGAAAGCGUGGGGAGCGAACAGG
rnacentral:rRNA from 1 species